rnacentral:rRNA from 1 species
ACUUUUUUAACCUAUCCUUAGAAAUUAAUAUCUGCAUCAAAAAGUGCAGCUUGGUUGAAGGGACGAUAAGACCCUAUAAAGCUUUAUCACUUUCUCUAAAAGUUUUGAAUCAAAAAAUAGAGGGGGGUGAUUGAACUGGGGCGGUAUCUAAUACUCUUUAGAAAAGAUAACACGUAAAGUGAAAAGCUUUAUCCUAAAUGGAAUAAAAGUUACUUUAGGGAUAACAGCGCAAUUUCUUAAGGUGGUAACAUUUUAUGAAGACUUGCGACCUCGAUGUUGAAUUGAGGGGCCAGGCUCCUUUUUGAAGUCUUG